rnacentral:lncRNA from 13 species
AAUAGAAAUUCUCGUUUGCGUUUUCCGUUUGGUGUUAACGGUUUGUGGCAAAACAGAAUCAGCGUAAUGAUUACACUCCAGGUUUACGAGGUUGAGUGGGCGAUCCAGGUGGAGAACUUCCACCAGUCUCUGUAUCAACAGGCAGAUAAUCUGUUUUCCAACUACAUCCCAUUGAAGAUCUCUCAGCUGGACAACCUGCUGAAGG